rnacentral:lncRNA from 1 species
AGGGAGAAGAAAGUACUACUUCGAUAUAAAAUUAAGCAAACAUUCUUCAAAUAACCACCGUGGGACUUGACCACUAAUGGUGACCAGCAGUGGCUUUGUCAUGGCCUUGCCCACUGGGGACAGGCACGUGCCAGGGCCAAGGUCCCUGAGAGCCAGUUACCACGGAACAAUGGCUGUUACCAGAAGCUUAUUGCAGACCUUGUAACCCGAAUCAUGUGUUGGCCCAGGACAGACCCAGGAAGGCGACUUGGGAAGGAAAUGCCAGGCUGAGGUAUCUUCACAACCCAGAAGAGAGACUGGGUUGAGUUAAAAUAAACACUGGAAUAAAUACGAGAAGAUAGAAAGCCUGCUGAGAAAACCAAGAGCCAGAUCAAGGACGGAGACAGGAAAGCAGAUUAUUGCACCUGCCUUCCCUAAGUGCAUUUGGGAAAAGAAGGAUCAUUUCAAAAAGCGUUAAGGAGCGGAAGCAUGGAAAUCACUUACACAGGCGAUCACACUUGGAUUUUGCUAGUGAGCUCUGCCUGCCUGCUCUGCUUCCAUUUGCUCAGGCCCAGUUUAGGCUUUUCCUCCAAGUGUUGAUAGCAGUCAUUUAUGAGGGAGGAAAGGAGCAGAAUAAACACACUUCUCAGCUCCCAGGCGCUGUGUGUGUAGACAGAGGCGCGGGUUGA